CUAGCAACCCACUGCUCCCAAACAACAAUAACUGUAGUGUCAUUGCCAAGGAAAAUAAAGAAAUUGGAUAUAAAGAAGACAACAGUAUAUUCCAUCCCCUCAUUUUGGUUCUAUGUCUGUUUUACUCACCAAUGUCUACACAUCACCUGGCAUACUUCUUAGUGUCUAGAAGAAACCUGACAAAUACUGGCUCAUUAAAAUGAAGUGAAUGAUAUUGCCGAGAAGGAAAAGUAGAUAGCCAGAAUAUAUAUUUCUCUUGCUUAUCCCAGCCAGGAUCGAAAUAUGCAAAUAUGCUGCUUUUCUCCAGGAUAACUCACUGUGAGUCAAUUGCAGGAUGGGCACAAUACAAUGGAGCCCAAAUUUCUCAGGCAAAGAAAUGUAAUAUGGACAUCUAAGAGCUUUCAGAAUAUAAUUUCAAAGGCAGGACUGAUUCUCUGAAAAGCCAUCCAAUGUGCUGUCUGACAGCUGUUCCUGCCCAGAAAAUGAACAGGAUACCUACAACACAGUGACUACCAUGUCAUCAGGGCCAUGAAAUGUACAGAGUUGACCAGGGAGCAACAAAAACGUAACUCAAAACAGAAAGCCAUGCAGCCU
rnacentral:lncRNA from 13 species